rnacentral:rRNA from 1 species
CCUACGGGUGGCAGCAGUGGGGAAUAUUGGACAAUGGGCGAAAGCCUGAUCCAGCCAUGCCGCGUGUGUGAAGAAGGCCUUCGGGUUGUAAAGCACUUUCAGUGGGGAAGAAAGCCUUGGGGCUAAUACCCUCGAGGAAGGACAUCACCCACAGAAGAAGCACCGGCUAACUCCGUGCCAGCAGCCGCGGUAAUACGGAGGGUGCGAGCGUUAAUCGGAAUUACUGGGCGUAAAGCGCGCGUAGGCGGUCUGAUAAGCCGGUUGUGAAAGCCCCGGGCUCAACCUGGGAACGGCAUCCGGAACUGUCAGGCUAGAGUGCAGGAGAGGAAGGUAGAAUUCCCGGUGUAGCGGUGAAAUGCGUAGAGAUCGGGAGGAAUACCAGUGGCGAAGGCGGCCUUCUGGACUGACACUGACGCUGAGGUGCGAAAGCGUGGGUAGCAAACAGGAUUAGAUACCCCAGUAGAC